AGGAGCAUAUAACGGCAACCGUGCCUUACGGCUCGCUAUAUGCGCCGGUGAAUGACGAGCAUUCGAGCGAAUGGGACCAAUCAGACUGAUUGGCCGACCGGUAUUUACAUUUCUGCGGGCAAGUCUGCCUCUGCAGCCUGCCUCGAGCAUCGCCAGGAGAUUCGAGACCAGAGAACACCGAGGGCUGACUACCGGCUCCCGCGACGAGACGAACCGUGCAAACUGGAGACGAAAAGUCGUCGUCUCUCGACAACAGAGUACCUCUUGCGGGACCAUUAUUCCCUAAAACAAGCACGCUUUGACGCGACCGAUCGAUCCUUAAUUAAACGGUGUAACUUUCACGAAAGCUUGCACACAGCCUCGUUUCGACCGGUAAUUUUAGUCCGUGUUCACACGCCAGGUUCCAGGUUUCACGGUUUACGAUCGUGGCCAAAGAAGUUGCUUCCCGGGGAAAGUUGGACACGGGAAGUUUGUCCGGAGGCUCGUUGCCGGAAGUUGCCGGUAUCUCGCUAGAACGAGGCUUCAGCGAGAAAAGUUUUUCGGUAUCUUCUGGCAUAACGUUACAUAGAGACGUCUACGGUCUACGGAAUAGUUUAUGGUCGUUGAGUGACGCGACGUCGCAUAACGAAAACGAUGCAUCGGGACUAGCUAAUUAAUAACCGCGGGUAACAAGCAGCAGAUGGAACGAUGGCAGAAAGUUGGAUAGCACAGACCCUUUGGCCACGGUCGGUCUGUCGACCGACUGGUUGGGACACACACCCACGCGCUGCCCAUUAUUGCGCACGUGUGGUCCGGAUGGUCGCGUGCAUGCUAUUAGCAAAAAGGAGUGUCCCGAACACGUUACCGGUCCACACGGUAAAACAACUGUCCCCCUUCUUUGCAACGACCUUUCCGAGCGGCGGCCGUGAAAGGCGAGAAUACACUCUCGAGCACCGGUUUCCGGUUCUGACACCCAAGCUGCAUAUCUCUGUCCCUCUUUCGAAAUAGCUCCUCUUUUAUUUCGACUGGCUGUUCAUUAGGCCGCUAAUUAACGCUUAGCGUCGGACGUGUUUGCAUUCACGCCGUCCUGCUACAGAGAAAGGAUCAUCUCGUUCCCUUUCUUGCGUUAAGCAGCAGCUGAACCAUUAUGGUCAUUCGGACAUAGCCCGAGGUUCUUUGGACAGAGUUAUGGAUGACGAUACACGUGAAGCUUCUAGAUAUUUUCGUGUCGAGGCAAGACGAGAACUACUUUCUGUAUACGUCUCAGAGAGACACGUGGAGUGAUUCCUCGAUCAAGGUUCUCAUGAAGGUUCAUCGAGGACCCGAGUUAAUUAUGAGAAUCAGAGAUACUGGUCACAGAAUGGUCCGUGGAGCACGUUUCGGAGUGUUAACGCGCCGCGUAAUAAUCUCGCGUCCGGUUUUAAUAACGUCGUACGGAGUGGCCGUUUCGCGAACUCCGUGAAUAUAUUCAGGGACAAUGUUAUUCCAGCUAGCCAUGCGGCCAUAUAUCAGCAACGAUUCUAUGCGCGGUCGCGUGCGGAGUAAUUACUUUUCGGUGCGCGGAGGCAUCGCUCAAAAGGCAACAUUUGCACGCGACGUAGAACCGACGUGCAGCGAAACGCACGCACGUACGUAUACGCGCGUGCACUCGCGUACCCACACGUAGAUACGUUCGCGUGUGUUAUCCAUGUAGAGAAGGUAUAAAAAAAAGAACGAAAGAAAAAAAAGCAUGCGGCUGCUGCCACGUUUCGAGGAUCGAGGGCGACAAUGGCUUCCUGUUUCAUCCCUGCGGGGCGUCCAGCUGUCUGUCUGGACUAUGGUUGCACGAAUGAAUCGUCCUCCGACUCCAUUGUGCCCGUUUUCCAGUUUUGCGUCGGGAUUGUUGCCUGCCAUGACAUCUUCACCGACCGAUCCUUCAUCAUUUUAGCGUUCUGUUUUCCCUAGUCCUCUUCCCAUCCUUUCGAAAAGUGACGCUUUUAUUCGGCAUCGUUGACUUUGGACGCUACCGUUGAAACCGUUCCAUGGAUUUAUACUUCUGGCGGGCUGUUGUGACGAGCUGGUUCACGGAAUUUUUUGGGGAUUCUUUCGGUUCAGUUGUGAAAGCAACCAUCAACUCUCUGUCAUUUUUAUAUUACUUAUGAUUUAUUAGAAUAUUAGAGAGCAAGUAAUAGCACAGAGGUUGUUGAUUGACAUGCUGUCU